UGAGGAACAUGACCUUCGGCGGGGGAUAGCCGGCCCAACGGCCGGGUAAUACCGCGUACGACCUUUCGGGGACAUCCCCGGAUGGUGAAAGCAGCAAUGCGCCGAUGGAGUGCCUCGCGGCCUAUCAGCUAGUUGGUGAGGUAACGGCUCACCAAGGCGACGACGGGUAGCUGGUCUGAGAGGAUGGCCAGCCACAGUUGGGACUGAGACCACGGCCCAGACCUCCCGUACGGGGAGGNAGCG
rnacentral:rRNA from 1 species